rnacentral:rRNA from 1 species
AGAACGAACGCUGGCGGCAUGCCUAACACAUGCAAGUCGAACGAGACCUUCGGGUCUAGUGGCGCACGGGUGCGUAACGCGUGGGAAUCUGCCCUUGGGUUCGGGGUAACAGUUGGAAACGACUGCUAAUACCGGAUGAUGACUUCGGUCCAAAGAUUUAUUGCCCAGGGAUGAGCCCGCGUAGGAUUAGCUAGUUGGUGAGGUAAAGGCUCACCAAGGCGACGAUCCUUAGCUGGUCUGAGAGGAUGAUCAGCCACACUGGGACU